rnacentral:rRNA from 1 species
GUAACUGACGCUGAGGAGCGAAAGCGUGGGGAGCGAACAGGAUUAGAUACCCUGGUAGUCCACGCCGUAAACGUUGGGCGCUAGAUGUGGGUCACAUUCCACGUGAUCCGUGUCGCAGCUAACGCAUUAAGCGCCCCGCCUGGGGAGUACGGCCGCAAGGCUAAAACUCAAAGGAAUUGACGGGGGCCCGCACAAGCGGCGGAGCAUGCGGAUUAAUUCGAUGCAACGCGAAGAACCUUACCAAGGCUUGACAUAUACAGGAAAACUGCAGAAAUGUAGUCCCCGCAAGGUCUGUAUACAGGUGGUGCAUGGUUGUCGUCAGCUCGUGUCGUGAGAUGUUGGGUUAAGUCCCGCAACGAGCGCAACCCUCGUCCUAUGUUGCCAGCACGUAAUGGUGGGAACUCAUGGGAGACUGCCGGGGUCAACUCGGAGGAAGGUGGGGAUGACGUCAAAUCAUCAUGCCCCUUAUGUCUUGGGCUUCACGCAUGCUACAAUGGCCGGUACAAAGGGCUGCAAUACCGCAAGGUGGAGCGAAUCCCAAAAAGCCGGUCUCAGUUCGGAUUGAGGUCUGCAACUCGACCUCAUGAAGUCGGAGUCGCUAGUAAUCGCAGAUCAGCAACGCUGCGGUGAAUACGUUCCCGGGCCUUGUACACACCGCCCGUCAAGUCACGGAAGUCGGUAACACCCGAAGCCGGUGGCCUAACCGUAAGGAAGGAGCCGUCUAAGGUGGGAUUGGUGAUUGGGACUAAGUCG